UGCCAUUAAUGGAACCAAUAAUUAAACGAUUUCAAGUCAACACAAUUCACACUUUUGUAACAUCUUGAGCAAUCAUGUUGCUAAACGGCUGUAUAAUCUCCAUAUUCGUUUUAACAUUUAGAGAUUUAUUAUUAUGUGACGCUGAAGAAACUCAAGAAGUCUCUACUGUCUUGAGUACAACUGUAGACAAUAUCGUCACAGACACUGCCAUCACAAAUAUGAAUACAGACAAUACUGUCGCAAAAAUAACUGCAGACACUACUGUCCUAAGUAUAACUGCAGACACUACUGUCACAAGUAUAACUUCAGACACUACUGUCACAAGUAUAACUGCUGACACUGACAUCACAAGUAUACCUGCAGACACUACAAUCACAGACACUUCCGUAACGACUAUAACUCCAGCCAAUUCAAAGAAAUUUGCAUUGAAAUUGCCUUUGAAAGAUUUUCGCAAAGAAAGAAAAAAUAAAGUAAA